GAAGUCUGUAAGGCAGUAGGUACCAUGCCCUUGGCUUUAUAAAAGCUCCGAGAGGAAGGGGACUGUUGCUUUCUUUGGACAGCCCCAUUGUGUGUUAACAGGUUUAAUUUCUUGGUCAUUCCUCAUUGGUGAGACCCAAGCUGUGGCCUUGUAAUGGGUGAUGAGAACUCAAGUCAAUGUACACUUCCUUUUUGGUAGUUUAGUGUUUCUGUAGGUGGGUGUUUUGUCUGAAGUCUUUCCAGUGUUGUCUGUUACAGUGAUGGACAUUAUUAAUAUGGUUAUCCUUUUUCUGCACUUCCCAUCUAACAGAAUAAUGCAAACAAUUGUUAAAUUUAACUGCAUUGUGUGAGGUUUUGCUCUUAACCCUGUGAUGUUUUUUAACUGGCUUUGUUACUUUUUCUGUUCAGUUUCGUCAACAGGAGAGCCGUAGGUAUCUGACAAUGACACAGCUGGAGCAGAUGUGGACACAAAUGUGCGACUCCUGAAACAAAGAGGCCGUACACAGCGAUCCUUAUAGAGUGAGCCAUGCAGGAUGUUCGCUACUCUGUCAAACCACAUGAGCACGAAACAGCAGGCAGAGGAAGCUAUCAGAGAGUUGAAGGAGACCAUGCAAAUGGAACAUGCUCACAUGAGGCUGCCUUGCCCAGUAGGAGCUUGGUGUUCACCUGCUGGUGCAGGGCCCUCAUGAAGUCCACACCCAGGGAACAAAGGCUGUGGGGUGAGUGCAGUGAGCACCAUUCCCUCAGGCCCCUUCCCCAGCACCCCUCAUUUUGGCUGUGCAGGCAGAAGUUGCUUGUACCUGUGGCCAAAAGGUGAGAUGAAAUAGAGGCAGCAGUGGACAUGGUUGUCCUGUUGAGGCCACUUUCAUCACGGAAAUACUGCUUGAACUGGUAGUCCAUGUAGUCAACCACUGGCUCAGAGAGCUGAGUUGUGGGGACAGGGGUGUGACUGCUUGAGUUCCCUGUGGGAUCCCCAGGAUUCCCAGGAUCCCCAGCUCAAUGCUUGCCGUGGUUCAAGCAUUGCAGACUGACAACCUAUGGGCAUCCCACCCUCGGAGCUGCUGGCACCCACGGUGGUGCUGCUCAGCCCUGCGGAGAGCCCCACAGCGCACACCAGUCAGUGGUGUUGACAGCACCACUAAAGCCUGGUGUGUCCACAGUGGUCAGCACAGUUUGACUCUCUUCUCGAUGUUCACCACGUGGUGGAUGAUCACUGUCUGCGUGAUGUGCUCUCGCUUGUCCUUUCCCCUGCCCAGCAUUGAGGGUCUUCUGCAGGGUCCCCAGCAAGCGGCCUGAUGACACUGCGUGCAGCAGGCACAUGCCAUCCCAUCCCACAGCUCCAUUCAGCUGGGUGAGGGGCUGCCCAUUGUCUCAAAGAUUGGUAUGAGAAGCUGACGUCCAUUAUCUGAGAGAUGAAUGUGAGGAGCUGCAACAAGACUCCACAGUCCAGACUCCACAGUUAUCUCAAGGAUUAGUGUGCAGAAUUGCCAUCCCAUAUCUCCAUGAUUGCUGAUUGCAGUUGAAGAGCUGGCUGCAAGACCAAUGAAAGUGGAUGCACCUGAUCCACCAGGAAUGUACAGUACUUGAGAUUAAGGACAGAGAUAUUCCCCCCACACAUAAUUCAAAGGGGGAAAAGGUAAUCACUAUGUGGCCACCCACCUCUGAUGACAGAUACUGACUCUAGGGGACACCCACCACCGAAGAUGAUGACUUGGGACAGUGGUGACUGUCCUUCUCUGCACCCUCAAUUCUUGCCUAAUUUCUGUCCUUUCUUCUAGUCUGUCCCAUUGCUGUCUUUUCUAUAAUAAUCUUCUUUUGUAAUAA